GAGCCGCGGGGCGCCUGUCCAGAACGCGAGCCCGCACGGCUCGGGGCCCCGCUGCGGUGCCCGCAGGUGGCCCGGGGACGGGGAGGGGUCCCGCGGCGGCCGCGCCCCCGGGGGCGCUUCCAGCCGCCGACGUGGGAGCCCCGAGGGGUACGCUGAGAACCUUCGAUGAACGUAGAGCCGCCAAAAAGUGAUUUCGUGCACUACCACAGCAGCAACUGUUCCUGAUGAGGCUGUGUCCUGCUCAAAGCAUUGCUCCCUGAUGCUUUCAGUACAGCCGAGGGAUGGAACCAUUCAGACUCUGCAGCUUGCAGCGCAAUGGAUAGGUCAGAAACCUGAGCAACGGUGAAGUGGCCAACAUGGAAAGACGAGGGGAAGUGCUCUGAUCCCCACAUUCAAGCAAGUAGAACUCCUUCAGGACAGACGUGUCGCGCUGCUUCUCUCGGUGUGACACAGCGCCACCUCUGGCAGUGGCAAUCCUUUGCCCUCAGCCAUCCCUGGAACUUGGUGCCCCGUAGCUGCCCCGCAGCGCUCAGGAACACCACCAGCAUGGUGCUGGCUGCAGGCCCCUCAGCCAGCUGUGCUGCACUGCUGCACACAGCACAGCCAUCGCUCCGGCCAGCAGAGCCCGGUCCUACCAGCAACGUCACUGGUUCUGAUGCAAAACCCAUUCGGAGGCCAGCACACCCUUGCUGAAUUACUCAAGUACUGACACAAGCAACAAAUGUUCAAGACCAGGCCAUUGCUUUCUCAACAGAGCACAUCUGUGUCCAACCUUUGGCAACUAGAUUCAGUUCUUAUUUUGCUUUUUUCCUCAUUGAGGCUUUUUGGAGAGAGAGUCAUGGAGGUUUGAAGAACAGUUACUGUACUCAGGCUCACAGUCUCUCCAUCUCUCUGCACCACAUUAAUGCUCAUCUACAAUCGAGUUCCAGUCAGCACCAGAGAAUCAGAAAUUAGGUUCAAUAAGCACUUACUGUCCAGGACAUUCUAGAGUUCCAAUGUCCUCUACCUCCCAGGCAGAGAGACACAAAAGAGACAGUGGUCUUUUUCAUAGCCCAUAUUUCAUUUUAUCCUGGAUUCAAAGACACCUUGUGCUUUGAAAACAGAUUCCAGUAGAAGAACUCAUUCGACUGGAAACAAUCACAAAUGUUUGUUUUGUCACCAGUUCAACCCCAUAUGGCUCUCCCACCCCUAAAUUCCUGUUGUGUUCUGCCAAAACUCACUUGAAAGCAUCUUGUGACAGUCUAACAAGAACAUCAGCGCUGCUACCCCUGAAACACCAGGACAGCUUUGCUAAUGUUGGAAUGUACCACAAACACACCACUUGCCCAGGAAGUCAGGUUCUUGGGCUGUCCCCAGGCAUCCCAUUCUUGCCUUCUCUACCACAUCUGAUCAAUUAAGUACUGUGUUUUACUCACCUCCCACUCCUCAGCCAGAAUUUGCAACUUUUACACAGUAAUUCAGUCCAAAAAACUCAUUUUAACAACAUGCAAGUCUUUUCCUGUGGACACAGUUUGCUUUUGUCCAAACUGUUAAAAAUCAGGGUUUCUGCACAUGCGAGGAAGAAAGAUGGGAGCAGCCUGGGUUUCAACAGAACAAAUGCUUGAGUCCAAAAGCAAUGGAAUGUGGCACAUGCUAUCACAAGUGAAAGCAGAGAAUCGCACUUAAUCUGCUCCAACUCACAUUAACAAUUACCCAGACACGUAUCAGAAAUAACAAGCCAGGCUGUGUUAACCUAGCUUCUAACAGAUCUCAAUUUAUACCAAGACAAGUAUUUUGAAUACAUAUCUAGACUCAUUUUAGUUGGAAGGGACAUUUCAAGGCCAUCCAGUCCAACUCCCCUGCAAUGAGCAGAGACACCUACAGCUCAAUCAUGCUGCCCAGAGUCCCUUCCAGCCUGACCUUGGAUGUCUCCAGGGAUGGGGCAUCCAUCACGUCUCUGGGUAACCUGCUCAAGUGCCUCAUCACCCUGACUAACUACUUCUUUAUGUCCAAUCUAUUUCUUCCUCCCCUUCAAGUCUGAAACCAUUUCCCCUUGUCCUAUCACAACAGACCACGCUAAAGAGUCUGUCAUCUUCCUUAUUACAGAGCCUUUUAGAUACUCAAAAGGCUGCUCCCAGGUCCCCCCCCAAAGCCUUCUCUUCUACAGGCUGCACAGCCCCAGCUUUCUCAGCCUGUCCUUGUAGGGGAAACUUCAUCUGCAAACUCACUGAUCUUCUCCAGGGAAGUCUGCUCCUUCACCCAUACCAUUCCCAAAACAGAGAUUCAAGGAUCUGAGCACUUCUAGGUUCUUGAUACAGACCUACUGUGGUGGUGCAAUGGAGCUUCUCUUGCUCAAAACAGGAGGGAUGAAAGAAGGCAAAGCUUAAAGAUAAACAAGCAAAUUACUGGACUGGCAGAUUCACAGGGGAGUGCUGCAGGGGAAGGAAAAUAUGCUGACUUCAGAUUUCAUGGCAACAAAGAAAUACCCUUGCAGGCAUGGCAGAACUCUUUCAACUUUCCUAAAGGAGAAUUUAACGUACAACGUAGUUUUCUUCUUACACCAGGCUCUUCUAAUUUCUCCUUCUUAGUGACUUAUCUUAAUCCAACAUCCUAUUAUAGCUAUUCUUUUUACCAACCAAAUAGACCCAUGUGUACUGUUUGUACAUUUUUCCAGUCUUCCUGCUAAGACAGCUGAUAUACUGUGCAUUUUAAAUCUCAGUUCAGCAUUUUGUAGUUAGUUUCAUUUUGUGCUUCUCUUAAAACAGCUGUGAUUAACUUACCUGACAGUCCCCAGAAUUCUACAGCUAACGCGGGCUUUUCCUCUGCAGCCACAUAACCUGAAUUUGUGCUUAUUGCACAGUCUGCGUGUGUUUGCCUGAAUGACAUGAUAGGGUUUUUGUUGUUCUUUUUUCUGGACCAGAGAAUUUGCAUCUUAAAAUAAGUUCUACUUCAUAUUUAAGUAACAUUUCAUUCUUUCACCACUGAACUAUAAAUGCUAAUAGAGGGAUGUCAGAGUGACAGAUACUUCCAAAUCAGUUCCUCUUAAAAAAGAAGAGGGAGAACGAGACCAAAUCUCUUUUUAGGUAGGGGAAAAAAAAAAACACCAAGAAAAAAAAACCAAAAACACCAAAAGCCCCACCUCAUAACCAGCAAGCUGACAUGAGCACCGUCCUUAAAGCCAACUAAAUCUCUAUGUUAUGCUUCCCUCUACUGUUUCACCUCGGAAGUGCGGUCACCUCCUCCAGAGUGGUUACACAAAAGCUACGAAAAGAUAAGUUGCAAAAAAUUAUGCAUGUCCAUUUACUCCUUUAUAUAUAAACAAUACAGAUGAAACUAAAAAGGUAUUCAUGCAUUUUGUAAAUACCGAUUUGAAGAAACAGUUUGUUUUGUCAAAUCAUCAACUAUUCACUAAAAAAAAAGAAAAUCUUUAAAGCUAAGCAUGACCUUCAUCAUCUCCGUUAUUUGGCUGUUAGAUGUCUGGAACUACCUUGUCCUGAAUCAACAUCAGUAGAAGAUUCUAUGAUCAUACUUGAAAGAUCCUGCACCUAAACUCCGUACAUACUGAUUUGUUUCCUCUGAAUGUUCCUUUAAAAAUAAAUAAGUAUUUAAGUUGCUGGUAAAACUUGGAAAUAAACUUAAAAGUUGCAUUUUGUUCAUGAAAAAUGAGAGACACUGAGUAGAACUAUUCCCACCUAUCUCACGUUAAGUAUAAUGUGAAACAUCACCUGCAACAAGUUAACAUUCUGAUGUUAUUUACAACCUGUGAAAAAAAAAAAACCAUCAGGCAAAAAAGCUUUAAAGGCCAAAGGAAUGUAACAAAAGAUUAAAAAAAAGUGAAGCACCAAAGAAUUACCAUGGAAACCAUUUGUCAUAUGUCACAAAGCAGUUAUGCAUGUCAAGUAACUGGUUCCAAGAAAUGAAUUCCACAGAUGCAUUAAAAUCGUCAAAACAGUGGUGGUCUUUAUUUCCAUCAGACAUGUUAACAAUUGGGUUAAUAUGAAUUCAUUUCACCAUCUGUGAGAUACGGAAAUUAAUGAUCAUUAAAAAAGUGAAUAAACCCCCUUCCAAAAAUAUACUGGAUAAUACAUGUGUCUGAACUUUACACUGUCCCUUCGAUGAGCCCUUUAUGUUAUGUGACAUGACAUACAGUUCUACAAGACAAAAUAAUUUAUGGACUUUUUCAGCCUCUGAUUUGUGAGCCUUCAAGGUGCCUAGGAAAAGCAAGCUUGUCCACCCUAUGCAGUUACAUACAUAGAUUUCAGAAGGGUCUCACCUCAACACAAAUAUCUAGACAGGUCCACCAAUCAAACCAAGGUAGAAAAUAACGUACUGGAACAAACACUUAAACAUCGGUGUCCUGCAGAGGAAGUAAGCCUUAGCUUAAAAACAGAAAAUGCAUUAGUAAUAAUCUUUCUAACUUUAGAAACUGGGCUUUGGAUAAUGCAGUUAAUGUUUGGUUUUGAUCACCAACAACUUAGAAAUCACAGACUACAGAAAAGUCUUCAAAUAAAUUGAAGUAAUCUCCUCCCUUUCCCAUCUAUCACCAAGUACGUACCAUAUAAAUAACUACCGUACUACAGAGCUCUUCAGACAAAUCAGACUUUCAACAGUAACGGGAUUUCAUUUUAGUGUCAAGUUAGCAGCCUGUUCCUGAUCUGGAAAAACCAGGACAACUGAAGAGUUAACCUUUAACCACACAGUCCCUCUCCUGAGGUUUUCUUGCGGUCUUGCCAAGAAACUCACGUAGCCACUGAAAGCCUGUAUUUUUAUUUAUUUUUUUGGCAGGGUGAGGGAAAGGUGUUAAAUAAAAGCGUCUCAUCUGAAGAGAAAAGGCAACAAAUCAACGACUAGUUUUCACAGUAAAAUGCAUCAGCUUUGUAGUUUCAUUUGAAACCAAGAACAAAUCAUGAAACGUCAUGAAAAUAAGAAAAAAAUCUCCUAGAGUGAUUACUAAAUGAAGUUAAAAUUACCACACUAAUCAGUAAACCCCAGAAGAAAAGCAGAUGCCUUAUAUCACAGGUCUUACAUUUAACAGUAUACAUUUCAAAUAAUUCCAUAAA